AAAAUUUCCUUUCAAGUUUUGGGGACUCCAACCUAUGAAGGAACCUAGAGGCAUAUAAGACUGAAAUAAUGGGGAAAAUAGUUCUCCAAGCAUUUUUUGAACCAGUCUAUUGUUAUUUUAUCUGAGUUCAUGACGGGAUAGGGAGGAAGAGAGGAUCACAGACGCAGCCUCUCAUUUGCCAUUCUCAUCUAAGGAGACGUGUUCUUUUCUACUGGAUAAAAUGGACAGGAUGCUGAAGCCACUGCAUCCAGUUCUACUGGCUGACUUUGAAGGUCUAUACUAGUCCUGGCUAUGUGGGUAGCUCAGAUGGGAACCCCUGAAGCAUGCUACCACAUGUGAUGGAAGAAAUCCAAGUUAAACACUUUCACCAGAGCAUGCUCCAAGAUAGAUGACUAGGCCUCAGGCUUGGCCAAUACAAUACAUUUCCAUUCUCUAUUUAUUUUUGUAGUUCAAAG
rnacentral:lncRNA from 1 species